GAGAGAGAGAGAGGAGUGGCCCAGGAAGGGAAAGAGGGGAAAGUCUGGCCGGAAAGGAAGGGAAGCGGGGCGCCACUCAGUCAGUGGUUCUUUGCUGCACCGCCUCCCGUUCUGCACUUGGUCCCCAGCUUGCCCAUCGCCUCCGCGCGCUCUUUGUGGUCGGAAAGGAGCCCGCCAAAAACUGGCCCGCUAUUCACCAGGACAGGCAGGCCCCCGAGUUUAGGAACGAGGUUGGUUCUGUAGGUUUGUUCUUCACUUGGAUUUGUAUGGAAGUCAGAACAGGUACGUUUUAAGUUAACUCCAGCCAUAACUCAUACACACACACACAUAUAAAAGUGAAAAAUGUGUAUGUGUCUGAGGUGUCCACUUACACAGACAGCUUCCCACCUCCACAAACAGCUAUAGUUCCUAUGGCCCUCCUUCCACUGACAUGCAGGUUAUAUAUGUCAUAGGGAGGAGGGAGCAUGCAUGUUUUCUGCUCGGUGCCCCUGUUAAUAAUAAUAAUAAUAAUAAUAAUAAUAAUAAUAAUAAUAAUAAUAAUAAUAAAAAACUUUAUUUAUAUACUGCCCUAUCUCCCGGAUGGGACUCGGGGCAGUUUCCAAUCAUAAAAACAACACAAACACUACACAGCAACACAAUAACACAGCUACACAGCUUGGGCUGUGGCACAGGCUGGAGAGCAGCUGCAAUGAAUCACUGCAAUGAAUCACUCUGACCAGGAGGUCAUGAGUUCGAGGCCCGCUCGGAUCCUAUGUUUGUUUGUCUUUGUUCUAUGUUAAAAGGCAUUGAAUGUUUGCCUAUAUGUGUAAUGUGAUCCGCCCUGAGUCCCCUUCGGGGUGAGAAGGGCGGAAUAUAAAUGCUGUAAAUAAACAAGCAAACAAACAAACACAUCAUUAAGCAAAUUAAAAAUGCAAUUAUAGACAUAAAUAACACUUACAUGACCUGAUCAAGGGGACGGGAACCACAAACCCAAUAUAUUAAAAUUCAGAAGAUUUCACCUCACUUUCUGUCCCUGUGACAAUUGGAUUUUGAAAAAAGAGAGAGAAACAAGCCCUGGGAACAGCACCAAACAAGCCUGUUACAUGGUUCAGAUUUAUGGAUGACACCUUCACCAUUUGAAGUCAUAGAGACGAAGAACUAAACCUCAACAGCAUCCACCCAAACAUCCAAUCCACCAUGAAAAAAGAAAAUGAAGGAAAGCUGCUAUUUCUAGAUGUCCUAGUCAUUUGCAAUCCCAGUCAACAAUUGGGCCACACAGUUUACAAUAAACCUUCACACACAGAUAGAUACCUACAUAAAAACUCCAACCAUCACCUAAGUGAAAAAAAAGAAGAAGCACAAUUAAAGCCCUGGCAGAUCGUGCAAAAAGAAUCUGCGAACUCCACAUCCUCCAAGGUGAACUGAAUUACCUAAAUUGGGCUCUCCAGACCAAUGGAGACUCCACCACAGACAUCAGAAGAGCUGUAAGGCCAAGAACAAGCCAUGAAAGUAAAGACAAAGAGCCACCCAGAGGAAAAGUGUUCUUACCAUACAUGAAGAAAACCACUAACUGCGUAGGGAAGUUGAUAAAGAAACACAUCCUACAAACUAUCUACAGUAAGAAAAUCCAACAAAUGCUACGUUCAGCAAAGGACAAGAGGGAUCCUCUCACCUCUGCAAGAGUCUACCAUAUACCAUUCAGCUGUGGACAAGUCUACAUUGGGACCACCAAACGCAGCAGCAUUGCCUAGACACAAAUCAAGGAAAAUGAAAGGCACUGCAGACUAACUCAACCAGGGAAGUCAGCCAUAGCAGAGCACUUAAUGAACCAACCUGGACACAACAUAUUAUUUGAGAACACCGAAAUGCUGAACCACCCUAACAAGCACCAUGUCAGACUACACAGAGAAGCUAUUGAAAUCUACAAGCAUGUGGACAAUUUCAACAGAAAGGAGGAAACAAUGAAAAUGAACACAAUCUGGCCACCAGUAUAAAAAUACUCUAAAAUCAGAACAAUAAAUAAAGACCACCACUCAGAAAAAGGAGGAAUUCCAGACAUGAAUCAGUGAGGGCCAGCUAACACCUCCCAACAAAGGAUCACCCAGGCAGUAAGCAGCCAGACAUUGAAUUUUUUAUUUUAUUUACUUCACUUGUAUAUCACCUUUCUCACCCCGGAUGGGGAACUCAAAGUGGUUUCCAAAUAUAUUAUGACAAAAUUCAAUGCCUACACAACAAUAAUAAAAUACAAUUGAAAGGCAAUUAAUCUAUUGAAGCUGAAAAGCUAUUCAGUGCUAAUCAAGCUGGCCAAUUGCAACAUUCACACUUGCCUGAAACAGAAAAGAGUUCUUUCUCCCGCCCAAACAGUCCACAGAUAUAUAACCCCAAAUUGCCUAGUUUCCAACAGACCUCACAACCUCUGAGGAUGCCUGCCAUAGGUGCAGGUGAAAUGUCAGGAAAUAAUGUUUGUGGAACAUGGCCAUACAGCCCGGAAAACACAUCAACCCAAAAAUUGGCUUGUCAUGGAAACAAGGAUUAGUGAUAUAAGCCACCUUUCCCCCAUGAUAACUCUUUCAGGAGUGAAUUUCCUUUCCCUGGGGUAGAUUUCUCUCACUUCCUGUUGUCUCACCCCUGUUCUUAACUAUGAGUCAUUUGUAAGUUGGAUGUUUGUAACUCAGGAACUGCCUGUACACUUCAUUGGUGUUUCCACCCUUUUUCCUCCUCUCAAGGAAACAUUUCCUCUUCUUCCCACUCACUCCCAUGGCAAUAUUUCCUUUGCUCUUUGUGUUAGCCUCUCUGACAGCUGAUUGUCAUAAAACUGAUAAGCUGAAUAGCAAAGUGUUAUGUUAUGGGAAAAGAUUUUUUUCUUUUGUCCUGAUUUGCUAGGCAAAGGAAGAAGGGAUGUAUCAAAAGCUACAUUCCUGAGACAGUUGCUGCUGCAUCUCUGGCAUCUCUUAACAAUCCUCCAGAAACCUGACAGGAACAAGACGAGUUCUGAGUCCCCCGUAAGAUGAACCAGAUGGAGCUUGAGUCCAGUCCAAAGCUGCUAAUGUCAAUGGAAGUGUUUAUUUCAAUGGAAUUGGCAGCUUCAGGCAGAGAAGGAACCAGCAGUGCCUCUAGCCAUUGCUUCUUCAAUGGUGGAUCCUGACCGCAAAGUUCAGUGUAGGGGUCCCAAAACAUUUUGCAACAGUAAAAGGUUUCUGAAAAUCACCUAGUGGCUGUUCUAGACAUUUUGCAAAUCUGUGGUGCAGUGUUUACAAAAAACUUUACAAAAGCUGAACUUCUUAAUAGAAAUCAGCCUAUUUAGCAUGACUUGCAAAUGCUGAUUUCUUAUAGUAAAUGUUUGAUUACUAUAUCUAUUUUAUAUACCCAUAUACUCUGGAUCAUGUAAACAUUUCUCGAGUCAAAAGGGGUCACGAGUGGAAAAGCUUAAGAAGCCCUGCUCUAGCCGAUGCGAGUUGGAGUGCUUUCCAACUUACAUUGACCCUCUAUCACAGUAUUUGUUGGCCAAGAUUUGUCUAGGAGAGGGUUGUGAUUGCCUUUCUCCAAGGUAGAGUGUGUGUGACUUGCCCAAAGCUACCCAGUGUUUCAAGGCCAAGUGGAUAGUUGAAUGUUGGUCUCCAGAGUUGUAGUCCAAUGCUCAAACCAUGGCAUCAUACUCUGCAAUAAUGCUCCAAAAUGCCCUUUGUUCCAGAUUUCAGUCAAACCCUGAUCUGCAGACAAUCCUGUUCUUGAACAGUAAAAGUAAAGAUGGGUGAGACAAAAGUAUGUCAUUAUCUGGUCAACUAUUCUACCCAUUGAUCUUUUAGCCUGACUGUUUUAAGAGAGCAACAUUGUUUCGUCCACACAGGACAACAGACUUCUAGGAAGCUCAAGUAGAAAGAAAAGAGGAGAGCAGGAACGCAGUGAAAAGAAAAGUAAAGUGUAUGGUGAGACUGGCUCAUACAGUACAAAUGCUGUUGAGGAUUUCAAACCAAUGGUUUCAGGCUGAGAAUUUCCAGAAGAAAGAGUGCUCAAGUGAAAUGUAUAUUGACAUUAUUACAAGGAAAAUAUUUAUAGAAAACAGAAGGCACAUUUAAAAGGAAAUAAAACAACAUGGUACCAAAUUGUACUAUUCAAACUUAUGGAUAUUGAGGCACAAAAUCCAUGAUUGCAAUACAAAUCCAUUGGAAUUAUCAAUCAAUUUCAGACAAGAUGAACUCUGAAUCUUCAGUGAAAAAUAGUUUUAUGUUAUAGUAUGGAUCUCCUGUCUAGUUCUUUCACAGGUAUGCAGGAUAGUAGAAACCAAAUGUCAUACUGACAUUCCCCUUUCACAUAAAAGUUUAACUGUAAUUGGUCAUGUGAUGGACUAACAUUAAUUAACAAUUACCUUUCAAGCUUAAAAUAAAGAAGCUUAUUUCAUACUUUAGUGAGCAGAAAAAAGAUACUGAUAUAAAGGAAGCCCUCAAGUUAUGUACAUGGUAGGUUCUGUAGGUUUGUGCUUAAGCUGAAUUUGUAUGUAAGUCAGAAUAGGUACAUUUUAAGUGUAACUUCAGCCAAAUAAAUAUAUAGAGAGAGCUUUGGAUAACAUAGGGAAGGGCUAUCACCCCUGUAACAUUUCCUUUGCUGUAUGUGCCCCUAUUUGGAAGAUUUCACCUCCCUUUCUGUCCCUGUGACAACUGGAUUUUGGAAAAUUUGGCUUGUUAUGGAAGCAAGGAAUAGUGGGAAAGCUUCAGUGGAGACACGUUUUCUCAUGAUAAAUCUUACAAGAGUGAUUUUUCCCUUUUGAGGGAUAGAUUUCUCUCACUUCCUGUUGUCGCAUCCCAAUCUUAACUAUGAGUCGUUUAUAAGUCAUUUAUAACACCCCUAUAAGUGUGUGUGUGUGUGUGUAUAUAUAAAAUUCAACUUUGUAUGCACAGCAUAGAGGACACAUAUAAUCUUACAAUUCUCUUUUAGCCUAAGAUAGGAUAUUUCUGUUUUCUGUAUGGAUAAAAGAUAUAAAUAGACAGAUGUUUCCCUUCCUAUGGUAAAGAACUGGAAGAAUCUUAAUGUCAUUAGACUGGAUGUCAUUACCAUUAACAUCUCAAAUGUUCUUCAAAAAGCUAUCAAUGGGACUAAGUUUAGCUAUCUGGCCUAGUCAAGGAAGUUGCUUGAUUAGCUUCCUUGUCACAUUGACCAACAUAAGAAAACUAAAGCUGUCACGGAAGCAAUGGCUAAGAUGUAAUAAAGUUAUAAUACAAUUGGCCCUGAAAAUGAAAGUUGAAAGGCCUAGAAGCUUGUUUAUACAACCAAGAUUGAAAGUUGUUAUCUCAGGGUCCUUAUCAAAGAGGUUGUUGUUACAAGAUAGCAACUCAUGUCUAAAGAAUGAAUCCCAAUUUUCUUUAUUAUGUCAGUGUUUGCGGCUCAUUUGUAUAAAUCACCUGGUCUCUGUUUUCUAUCACUGCCUAAAAUGUUCUUUCCAAAUUAUAUGUUGCCAUAUGGGAGUCUCAAAUCUUUCUUCAGAAUGUUAUACAAAUGAAUAGGAUCUGUCUGGGGCUCUGAGCUUUACAAUAAAAGAUUGCAGCUUGAAAUAGUUUCAAAUAGCCUUGCCUUGCUCCCACUUUUUUGUAAAGCUAUGAUGAGCCUACAGUGCUUUGAUCUUUCAGUAUUUGUUCUGAAAAGUAUAGUGGAAAUAUAAAAUACCCAUCUGUUCUUCAAACUCUUUUAUAGUUAAAACAUUUGAAAUACUGUAUGUAAAAAAAAAACAAUGAAAUUAUAAGGAAGACAUUAUCAAUGCCACUUAUCUUUUCAGAUUACAGAUGGUGGGAAGGCUCUAGUGAUAUGUGAUGAAUAUCCAUUCAUAUUGAAUAAUAAACCCCUUCAUAAUCUUAAAUAAAGUUUAAUAAAGUACAAUAAACAUUCCUUUCUUCAAGCAGAUACUCUGAUAUAAAAUAACAAUAAAUUAGAUAUGCAUCUUUGUAUUUAAAGAGGUUGGAAAUCUCAAAGCACACUUAAGGGUGUUCCCUGUUUUUGUAUUUUUAAAACCACAAUGCAUUUUACAGAUGACAGAUUAGUAGUGAAUGUGACAAAACAGGAGGGUCUAUAAACUACUACUUGUGGGUAAAAAGAAACAAUGCAUUGGUUUUUUAAAGAAACACCCACACUUCAAAAGACCUACAAGCUGAGUCGAAACGUUCCAGAAACAACUCCUGUUACGCUCUGCAUUUUAUUAUAACAACCUGGCCAACUAACCUUGAGAAUAUAAGCAAGAGCCAUGCAUCUCUUCCUCUUGCCAUAAUAACAUUUCCCUAGCAGUUUCUUGCCAACUCUUUCUGAUAUUCCAUUUCCAACAGUGGAUAUCUGUAAUAAAUAAUUCAUGCAGAUAUUAUACAUGUGUGGGUGCAUUUGGACAAGGUUAUAUUUCUGACUUUCCCUGCCAUCCUUUCCUCUCGAACGACCAAUUCAAUUUAUUUCUGGGAAGAAAAUCAAAUCAGGUCAGAAUUUGUUAGGAGAGAGAAACAGCAAACUGCUGCUAUGUUGUGCUAUUUAAUGGACUGCAAUUUGUGAGAAAGACUGUGUUUAAUCUACAGUGGGAUUGCAUUUUUAAAAGUCAAGUAAAUACAUGCUGAAUCUAUUACCUUUAAGGCAUCUGUUAAAAGCAAUGUCACGAGAAGUGAAAUUAACACAAAAAUGAAGCACAAAUUCAUAUAGGCAGUGAAGCAUUGACAAGAAAUAUAACAAGAAAUAAGCCACAAUUGAUUUUGAAAAUCAGUCAGUAAUGUCCCAAACAAUUGCAGUACCAACUCCAGAUUUAGUUACUAAGAAAAAAUAAAGUGGGAAAGCGUUAUCCAGAUUGGCAUGGAAGAUAAAAAAAUAUGCAAGUCAAUUGUCAAUAUCACAUAUGUGUAUACAUGUCUUUAAGUUGUCUAUUGACAUGGUGACCCUAUUAAUUUUGUAGGAUUUUCUUCGACAAGGUUCAUAAGUGUCCUGAAAAAAAAGAAAAGAAAGAUAGUCUACUCAGAGAUGGUUUUGCCAUUUCCUUCCUCUGGAAUAUAAUCUAGCCUACCUGGUAGUAGUGACCCUGCUUAGCUAUUACAUAAAUAACAGAAGAGAGUGACCUCGACAAGUAUGUUUAUUAAAGUGAAAUUGAAAAAAUGUCCCCUGGACAUAUGACCAAUGGUUUCAAGAUAAGUUACAAUGGUGUACAAAAUGUGUGGACAACGUUCAUUGCAAUACCUGUUGAUGUUUUCAUUAGUAUUUUUUCUUCAUAGAAACACAUAAACUUUAAUAAUAGGCAAGCCUGAGGAGAUAGAUCAAUCACAGUUCAUGACAUGUCAUUGGGAAGUGCCGUGGGGGAUAGGGAUAUAACCUAAAGAUUUGUCUGUUAAAUGGUUAGAUAAGGCCACUUAAAAUAGAGAUUGUACCAGAUAGAAAUGAAGUUAGGCCCAGCUAGGAAAAGGGGCAUUUGAGCAUUGGACUAUGAUUCUGGAGAACAAGGUUUGAAUGUUUACUGAGCCAUGGUAAUCUACUGGAGGACUUGAGCAAGUCAUACUCUCACCAUCAGAGAAAGGUAAUUGCAAACCCUCUUCUGAACAAAUCUUGCCAAGAAAACCACAUGAUAGGAUCACCCUAAAUCAUAAGUUGGAAACAACUUGAAGGCACACAACAGAGGGAAAUGGAGGAGAAUGCAGUCAUUUUUUGAAACUGGGUGUUACAAUGUACUGUGUGCAGAACAAGCUUAAGACUAGAUGUUUAUUUUAUUUGUUAUAUAAUAAAUAUUUCCUUUUUUAUUUUCUACAUCCCCGUCUGGAUGUUUGAAUGUAGUAAACAUUAAGGAAAAAUUCAGUCAUGCAAUAGUGCACUGAAUCCGCUGAUCAACAAAGAUAUUUGUCCAGUAAAGUAAAAUGGCAAGAUAAGUGAUAGGAGCCCAAGGGUUGGAACUGCAGAGUCCAUCUUGAUCAGGAUUGCAUCACAAUGAGAUUUGCUAGGGAAAACACCCAGGAGAGUGCAUCCAGAGGUCCAUAAAUAACCUGAAAAACAGAAAGCUAGAUUAGGUAAUAAUCUAAUUCUCACUGUUCAGGGGUUUUCUUAUGACACACAUUAUCAUCAAAAGAGGAGAAAAAAAAACAGUAACAUCACUUAAGUCCAGAGCUUACAAUUAUUUAACCAUAAAAUGAUUCCAGGCCUCUAGCUGAAAACACCAACCUAUAUAACUACUCACCCAGGUAAAUGCUGUUUGCGUAGCGUCUUUGGAGGUGAUGGCAAUGAAGUCCAAAACUUGGGGUAAUUUCCAGGCUUUUGUUCAGUUAUGCAUUACGUAGUUUGGGGCUCUCAGUUACAUAUAAUAUGACAGUAAUCUUCAAAUCAGAGAAAGCUCAAACUGCCUGAAGAUAUUUUAGAGUGCUGAAAUGUCAGUUUUCAGUAAUUCACACAGAGCACAAUUAACACGGAGAACAAACAUUUGUCUGCACAAGUCCUUUGCAAUGCUUUGUGCCCCAUGGGUCAGAUCAUUUCGUCACGGAUGGCAUCAAAACAUUGCUUUACAUUGGAGCAUCUGCUUUAUUUAUUUAUUGUUGUUGACUCCAUAAGAAAAAUGUUUUGAUGUGUUGCUCUGGCUCUAGCAAAGAAAUACAUUGUUUACAUUCUUUAUUUUAUUUCACAGACUGGAGGUGGACCAUUAAACCAUUACUUUAUGUGCACAACUGAUGCAUCAUUCAGUCCCUUGUGGAAAGAUGGGGAAAUGACUCUGACUACUAAAAGAACCUAAAUCCACAGGCAACUGGUGAAAGAAAGCAUCAUACUAUAUAUCCUAAAAUAAAACCAAUGCCAUUUUAUGCACAGGAUUAUGAAACUGGGAGAUUUCAACUGUUCCAAAGUUCUAGAUGGAAGAUUGGGCUUGCCUUGCAUUUUCCUACUCAAAUCCAAUAGGUCCUGUGUGAUGUUUCCCAGAAAGAAGAGAGAAAUCAAUCUUUUGAUGCUAAUUGGCUAGAUCAGGAAGAAAUCUUCAUUCUUUCCACAGCUUCACUUCAGCAUGAGCUAUAUUCCUGAUUUUUCUAUUAAGUUCACUUCGGUGGGCUGGCCACGUUGUCCAAAUGCACAAUCACCAUCUCCCAAAGCAUUUACUUUGCUCUCAGAAUGGAAAAUGGAAUGUUGGUGGACAGCAAAAGAGAUUUAAAGAUGGACUUAAAGUUAACCUUAAAAACUGUUUCAUAAACACUGAGAACUGAGAAGCCCUGGCCCUUGAGCGUUCUAACUGGAGGUCAGCUGUUACCAACAAUGUUUUGGAAUUCAAAGAGGAAUGAAUGGAGGGCAAAAGGAAGAAACAUGUCAAGAGAAAGGCGCAUCAAGCCAACCUUUGUAGGGACCGCCUUCCAUCCAGAAAUCAAUGUCCUCACUGCGAAAGAACAUUCAGAUCAAGAAUAAGUCUCUAUCUUCACCUAUGGACCCAUCGCCAAGACCCUACACUUGGAAGACAAUCAUACUUGGCAACAAGUGAUAGCCUAUGAUGAUGACUUUGUGCUUUUCCUGCAUGGCAGGGGGUUGGAAUGGAUGGCCCAUGUGGUCGCUUCCAACUCUAUGAUUCUGUGAUUCUUUUUAAACUUUAGAGAUUCCACAGCUUCUGAGUGAAUUUAAGAACAUAUGAGCCAUACUGGAUUAAACUGAGGAAUGAUCGACCUAAUUAAUAACAAUCGGCUUGCCAAAGUUGAGCUCUCUCCCACAGUUUUGGAAAUGAGUCUACAGACCUUGAACAUGACAGCAAAAGUAUUUAUGAUUUCAUAAGUGUGAUCACAUAGGGUCCUUUACUAUUGCAGUUUUAAUUGGAGACUACAUAGUAGCAAGGGAGACAUUUCCAGAUGUUCCACAUUGUAAACAAGCAAGUACCAUAAUGACAGAAGACCAUCCUUUAAAAAAAAUGGACGCUAAGCUAUGGAAUUCUUUUUUCUCUCACAUAAUUUCUCAUAUAGUUUCUUCUCUGUAAGUUUUCAUCUUCUGUAUUAUACAAUACCUAGACUUUAAAUAUGUAAUCCAAAUCAAGACAAUGGAAGAAAACUGCAGCUGUAAAUAAUUUGGCUUAUCUACUUACUAUUUCUUUUCAGGGAAAAGAAGGGAAUGACAGGCCCCAGAUUAUGCUAUAUGCUCAAUAUAUAUGGGACCAGAAUAUUUUUCUGACUGUUUAAAUAAACAACACAGUAAGCAUAACAAGCAAUAUAUGUAUGUGUAUUUAAAAUUUUACACCCUUUUGGUUGGAUAGCUCCCCAGAUGUCAAAUAUAAAUCCAAUCCAAACAAUGAGUCAGACAUAUACAGAAUUUACAUCUCACACAGUGUUUGAAACACUGCUUAUAUUUGAAAUACAACAUUAACUUGAUCCUUAAUGCAGUCAUCCUGAUUGAGCCAUUCAGUGCAGAUGCAAGGUUUAUGAUGCACACAUAAAGGCCCUCAUGACUGGAUUUACCCACUCACUCUAGCAUUAGUUAUACACAAAAACUGUAGUCUCAGAAUUGACCAUUUGAUUCAUGAUUCUGUAACUGCUGUUAAAGCACAAUAAGUUCUCUUACGUGUGCAACAGAAACAAAGAAAGCAUACAAAAAGUACUGGACAAUGAUCAUCAUGAGCAAUCACAAAUGGCCAAGUAUAAUUGUCUUCCAAGGGUAGAGUCUUGGCAGUGGGUCCGUACAUGACUGCAUUCUGGAUCUGCAUGGUCUUUCAUAGUGAGGACAUAGAUUUCCAGAUGGAAGGUGAUUCCAACAAAGGUUUGCUUGAUGUGCCUUCCUCUUGGCACAAUUCUCUCUUUUGCCCUCUAUCUGAGCCUCUUCAAAAUCCAUAGCUCUAUUGGUAACAGCUGACAUCUAGUUAGAACGCUCAAGGGCCAGGGCUUCCCAGUUCUCAGAUGAGGAUAUAAUGUGGAUGAAAGUCCUGUCCAGCCGUGUUCAACCUCCAUGGAAUAUUUCAAGUAUUUAGUGUUUAGAUUAAUUUGAAGUCUUUGUAAAUCAUUUUUCUGCUUAUUGUGAUAUUCUUCAUGGUAGAUUUAGAACAGAAAUGUUUUAACAGCAGCUACAAAGACAGAAUGAUGAACAAAAUAGAUACCAAUAUGCUUCUCCUUUAUCUAACAACAUGAAAUCACCCUGUUAAAAUUCAUAGCAGACUUGUUUAAUGAAACUUGUUGAUAAUAAUGAAGGUGGUUUUAAUUCAUCUAGGUUUUAGUUCUCCUAGUCUAGGUACUAGACUGUCAUUGUUGCCAACUGCCAUUGCCAGACCAAAUAUACAGAAAUCAGGAAUGCUGCAAACCCUCCAAGUUGGCAAAGACAGUUCUGAUUAGUUUUCUGUUGCUCCAAUUUUAAGCGAUUUUUACAUGUUCCACUUUUUCUAUCUCUCUCGCCCUUUGUCCUCAAUUGUUGUAAACAGAGUUUACAGUGAAAAAGCAGCAUAUACUCAUCUCAGCAAGAGACGAGGAAAGGAGCGGAAAACAGGAAAGGAGCCACACCAUUGUCAUUGGAGCCAGAAAGGAGCAGGGCAGAACUUUGCCCUUUUGCAUAGGCUCAGGCAAAGGCAAUCUACAGCAUCUUCGUCAUUAAUACCUUUUACCCUCUUGCCCACUCUUUGUUGUUUCUUGGAUAGUAUGAUGCUAAGUGCAAAGUCCAAAAUUCAUAGAUGGACAUUCAACAACCUUUAUUUAUCGAUUUAUGUAUUAAUUUUCUACCCUUCCUGUGGACUGAGGUUGAGAACAACAGAAAAUAACACAACACAUAACAUUAUUUAAAAUCAUACAUAAAACCACUCCAGCUUCAAUAUCUUCCUUGAAUUGAGGUGCCCUGAAUUGGACACAGUGUUAUUUGCCACAUUAUAUUGUUGGCUCAUGUUUAACUUGUUGUCCAUGAGGACUCCAAGAUCUUUUUCACACAUAUUGCUGUCGAGCCAGGCGUUCCCCAUUCUGUAUCUUUGUAUUUCAUUUUUUUCUGCCUAAGCAGAGUAUCUUGCAUUUGUCCUAAUGGUAGUCCAAGAGAUAUAGUCAGCUUCCCUAGGAAUGAGAUGCAAUUCUUUUCAAAAUAAUAAUGAUAAUAAUAAUAAUAGAAAAGCAGGAACUUCUCUUUGAAAGUGGUGUGGCUUUUCUGGUCUAGUGGAAUUCCAGACAUGAAACAAUCAGGGCCAGCUAACACCUCCCGAUAAUUAUGCCCCCAGGCGGGAGGCAACUAGGUUUUGAGGCAUGUUCCAAGUUGGAAACUAGGAAGGUCCAACGUGAGAGAAAACGUAUCUGAGGCAAGUGUGAAUGGUGCAAUUGGCCAGCUUGAUUAGCAUUGAAUGGCCUUACAGCUCCAAAGUCUGGCUUCUUCCUCCCUGGGGGAAUCACAGAGGGAAUCACAAAGAUAAGCCACUGAAAUCCACAAACAUGUGGACAAUUUCAACAGGGGCACAAAAUGGCAGACGCAGAGGAAUAGGAAGCACCUCUCUCCCUUCCUUUUCCUCCUUGGCACCGUUUUGUGUGGCUUUUAAAUAUAUACACAUUGAGUGCAAUAGAAAAGCACAUUUUGAUUCCAUGCACAAAAUUAUUUAAUUAUUAGGAUCACAUAUUGGGUCCCAAGAUAUGGUAUAAAGAAAGAUAUGGUGUGUAUGUGUGUGUGUAUGUGUGUGUGUGUGUAUGUAUAUUAUUAUUAUUAUUAUUAUUAUUAUUAUUAUUAUUAUUAUUAUUAUUAUUAGGAUCAUAUCUUGGGUCUCAAUAUAUGGUAUAUAUAAAGAUAUGGUAGAUAGAUAGAUAGAUAGAUAGAUAGAUAGAUAGAUAGAUAGAUAGAUAGGGAGUGUGUGUGUAUGUGUGCGCGCGCGUAUAUAUAAAGUGUAUUUUCCAGUGAUUGGUUUGGGCGGGGGGCAAAAUACUGUUUGCUUACACUUGAAAAUUACCUAGGGCCGGCCCUGUCUGUGCUCCCUUUUUUUUUUAUCCAAUUUGGCUGUAAACACAUGUGAGAUACUGAUAUUUAUUUAAUAACUCACCUUUCCUUCUACAGCGAUAGGUCAAAAGGCUUCCAAAACUGAAACAAACAUACACAUGUAAAAGACGUAAUGUUCAAAUGCUGUGUUCCUGCUUUUCAAUAGAUGAUACAUAAGUUUUCUCCAACAUAUCAGUGGUUGAAAUAAAUAUUCAGCACACAUAUCUACGUAUAGGGGACUGUGCCCCAGCAGGUGCUCCAUUGACAAGUAUAACUGUGGCACAGGCUGGUGAGCAGCCAGCCAGCUGCAGCCAGCUGUAACAAAUUACUCUGACCAAGAGGUCAUGAGUUCGAGGCCAGCUUGGAGCCUAUGUUUGUCUUGUCCUUGUUCUAUGUUAAAGGCAUUGAAUGUUUGCCUUAUAUGUGUAAUGUGAUCCACCCUGAGUCCCCUUUGGGGUGAGAAGGGCAGAAUAUAAAUACUGUAAAUAAAAUAAAUAAAAUAAAUAACUUGCAGUGGAUCUGCCCUUGCAGAAUUACGGCAAUUUUAUUCCAUUUUAACUGCUCUGGGUCCAUUCUAUGUGGUUUGUAGUUUGUUUGAUAGCAGAGUUUGCUGACAAAGAAGGCUAAAUAUCUCACAAAACUACAAAUCCCAGAAUUCCAUAGUAUUGAGUCAUGGCAGUUAAUGUGGUGUCAAGCUGCUAUAAUUCUGCAGUGUGGAUACAUUCCAAUCUCCAUUUCCCAAGAAUUAAAUAAGUGAAGUCUGGUUUUCAUUUCUGUCAAUAGACAGAUAUUUCAGAAUGCUUUAGCCAACUAGGUAAAGUAGCUAGCUGGGGGGAAAGAACUUAAAAAAUUAAGUCUGACAAAUAACUUCUACCUGCCCUAUCAUCAAAUCAGUCAUAAAGUUGUAUAUUAAGUGCAUGUUAUUGAAGGUGAAUAUGUAGAAGGUGCAUUUUUUCAGAUCCUUGCUUACAAUUGCCCUUUUUUAAUAAUGUAGAUUUCUGUUUCUAUCCUAGCAUGAUGCUGGCACCAAAGCUAUGUUUGAAUGAAGCAGACAUUCCUAUCGUGUACUGCCAAAAAUAAUGGAAAGCUUGAUACAAUGGAAUAGUACCUAAAACGCUUAGAAAACCAUAAAGUUUAAUGUUGCAGAGCUCUUCUACCGGAUGCCAACUGCUGAAAGCAGCUGCUGAAUACUUAAAGAAUGUUGAAAAUUUCUCUCCAUUAAAAAAAAAACGCAAUGUGCAAUAAACAUCUAAAACUGAUUUGUUUAAACGUCUGCAGGAAUAAUCUGUGAUGUAAUGUUCCUGGGGAUGGAUGAGAGGCAUAUUGGGGAAAGUCCUGUAAACAAUUGCAGGAGAGCAAAGACAAUAGAAAAAGGUUUCCUAUAUUAUUAUUUGGCAGGAACAGAUCAUUGAGUGAUACUCAGCUUUUUAAAAGUGCGAACACAAUACUGUAAAAUAUGACUUGCACUGCUUUCUCUCAAGCCUCUCUCUUGAGAUUUUGAGAUGAAAUAUAUGUGCAGUUAAUAUAGUUCAUCUUUUUUUUUACAAUAAGACAUUCUAAUUUACAUAGUAUAUAAAAUAAUGAGUAUAGUGUAGUAUUAUGAACUUUACACUAGGAUGACAUUGUUAGAAUCAGUUCAGUCAUGGAAAUGGAUUGGGUGGACUUGGACAAGUCACACACUCUCAGCCUUAUGAAAGGGCAACACGAAAACAUUUUAAAAAACAUUUUGCUUAGAAAACUAUGAUGUAGUCACCAUCGGUUAAUAAUCAGUUUAGAGGAACUUAAUAACAAAUGCUUAUGUUUGCCAUUCAGUGAAGUAGGUGUCUGUGAUGUCUCAUGGGCCAUGUAGUCCCGUUCCUAGUACUAAUGUGGCAGACGAAGAGGAAAACAUGGGAUUUACACCGUUUCAGCCAGAAACGGAGCCCUUGCACCUGGAGGAUGUUUGCCCUCAAGAAGUCAGCCAAACAAGCCUUGGGCAGAAUUCUCCCCCGUUUUCUCGAAGAGACAAUUAUAAUAGAGAUAGAGGAAAUAGGGAGGCGAAUCGCCGGAGCGCCAGAAUCGCAGCCAAACAAUUAGCUGAUUAAGUCUGCUUCCCUUGGGAAAUUCUAAGGAGUCUUGCAUCUGGACUAAGUUGAGUUUCACUUCUAGUUCUCCAGGGAAAGUGUUCUUCUGGCGGGAAACGAGACCCUAUUUAGGUGUUUGCCGCAAGGGAAACUUUGCGGAGUCAAUUCGUCAGCUGGAGUGAGAUCGUGUGUAGACUUUGUACUCCAGUUCCCUGUUUCCCGGAUCAAGUUUCCAGCCUUGCCUUGUCCCGCGUUUGCCACGGAUCUUGUUUUUUGCUCUUGUUGCCUUGUUUCAAGUCUUGUUCUAGCCAAGUAUCAAGUUUGCUUUCCAGCCUAAUUGCCAAGUUUCUAUGGACUUAAGGACCUUGUCUUCUCCCCACACUUUGCUUGGCAAAGUGUGUGUUUCGGUUAUUGGAUUAUAACUUUGGACUUUAAUAUCACAUAUUGGACAUUAUUUUCCUGGACUAUAUUUGACCUUUCCUGAAAGGUCUACUUCUGAACUAUAUUCUACACUUGUUUUUAUUGACUUUAUAUAUUUCCUUAAUAAAGAUAUUAGAUAGAUUCUGGUCUCUGCGCAUGGUUAUUGGUGCUCUGCAGCCUGGGUCCUGACAGUGUCAUGUGAUUUCAACUCUGCUAAAAUCGCAGGUUUGGAAGUCCAGUGUGUCUAUCUUAUCUAGAAGGCCAAAUCAGAUACAGAUGGGUAGAAGGCCAAACCAGAGGUUUAUUCUCAAUGGCCAAAGAGGAUGUCAAUGGAGAAAGCACUCCAAAAUACUGACAUACCCUAACUG